rnacentral:rRNA from 1 species
UACGUAGGGUGCAAGCGUUGUCCGGAAUUAUUGGGCGUAAAGAGCUCGUAGGCGGUUUGUUGCGUCGGCUGUGAAAACCCGGGGCUCAACCCCGGGCCUGCAGCCGAUACGGGCAGACUGGAGGUAUGCAGGGGAGAACGGAAUUCCUGGUGUAGCGGUGAAAUGCGCAGAUAUCAGGAGGAACACCGGUGGCGAAGGCGGUUCUCUGGGCAUGUCCUGACGCUGAGGAGCGAAAGUGUGGGGAGCGAACAGG